rnacentral:rRNA from 1 species
UACGAAGGGGGCUAGCGUUGCUCGGAAUCACUGGGCGUAAAGCGCACGUAGGCGGCUUGUUAAGUCAGGGGUGAAAUCCUGGAGCUCAACUCCAGAACUGCCUUUGAUACUGGCGAGCUUGAGUUCGGGAGAGGUGAGUGGAACUGCGAGUGUAGAGGUGAAAUUCGUAGAUAUUCGCAAGAACACCAGUGGCGAAGGCGGCUCACUGGCCCGAUACUGACGCUGAGGCACAAAAGCGUGGGGAGCAAACAGG